CCGAGAAGUGCAACAUUGGUGGGAGAACAUAAAGGGGGUGCGUCAGUGGCACGAUUGAAUGCUAGGUUGGCUUACAAUUAAGCAACCCAGCUGACUGAGAGCAGGACUGGCAGGGAGCACUGUUUCACUGUGUCUAAUGAUGCGCUUGCGCUACAGUUUGUGUGGAUAGUUUCCCUGUGUCCCCAAAAGCGAGACACUGAGAAACAAAGCCAAGAUGGUAGGGCAGGACCCUACAAUCCAGACUGUCCUGCCAAAACCAGGAUGGUGCGGAGGCAUGAAA